AAACUUAAAUGAAUUUGACGGGGACCCGCACAAGCGGUGGAUGAUGUGGUUUAAUUCGAUGCAACGCGAAAACCUUACCCACCUUUGACAUGUACGGAAGUCGCCAGAGAUGGCUUCGUGCUCGAAAGAGAACCGUAACACAGGUGCUGCAUGGCUGUCGUCAGCUCGUGUCGUGAGAUGUUGGGUUAAGUCCCGCAACGAGCGCAACCCUUGUCAUUAGUUGCUAC
rnacentral:rRNA from 1 species